rnacentral:rRNA from 1 species
GACGAACGCUGGCGGCGUGCCUAAUACAUGCAAGUUGAGCGCUGAAGUUUGGUACUUGUACCAACUGGAUGAGCAGCGGACGGGUGAGUAACGCGUGGGGAAUCUGCCUUUGAGCGGGGGACAACAUUUGGAAACGAAUGCUAAUACCGCAUAAAAACUUUAAACACAAGUUUUAAGUUUGAAAGAUGCAAUUGCAUCACUCAAAGAUGAUCCCGCGUUGUAUUAGCUAGUUGGUGAGGUAAAGGCUCACCAAGGCGAUGAUACAUAGCCGACCUGAGAGGGGGAUCGGCCACAUUGGGACUGAGACACGGCCCAAAAUCCUAAGGGAGGGAGCCGUAGGGAAUCUUUGGCAAUGGACGAAAGGCUGAACGAGCAACGCCGGGUGAGGGAAGAAGGUUUUCGGAUCGGAAAACUCUGUUGGUAGAGAAGAACGUUGGUGAGAGUGGAAAGCUCACCAAGUGACGGUAACUACCCAGAAAGGGACGGCUAACUACGUG